GACGGAGGGUGCUAGCGUUGUUCGGAAUUACUGGGCGUAAAGGGCGCGUAGGCGGCCAUGUAAGUCGGGUGCGAAAGCCCGGGGCUCAACCCCGGAACGGCACCCGAGACUGCGUGGCUCGAGACCGGAAGAGGUGAGUGGAAUACCCAGUGUAGAGGUGAAAUUCGUAGAUAUUGGGUGGAACACCGGUGGCGAAAGCGGCUCACUGGCCCGGUUCUGACGCUGAGGCGCGAAAGCGUGGGGAGCAAACAGG
rnacentral:rRNA from 1 species